CCUACGGGGGGCAGCAGUGGGGAAUAUUGGACAAUGGGCGAAAGCCUGAUCCAGCCAUGCCGCGUGAGUGAAGAAGGCCUUCGGGUUGUAAAGCUCUUUCGACGGGGACGAUGAUGACGGUACCCGAAUAAGAAGCCCCGGCAAACUUCGUGCCAGCAGCCGCGGUCAUACGAAGGGGGCUAGCGUUGUUCGGAAUUACUGGGCGUAAAGCGCGCGUAGGCGGUGAUCCAUGUCAGAGGUGAAAGCCUGGAGCUCAACUCCAGGAUUGCCUUUGAAACGGGAUCGCUAGAGUCCGGGAGAGGAUGGCGGAAUUCCUAGUGUAGAGGUGAAAUUCGUAGAUAUUAGGAAGAACACCGGUGGCGAAGGCGGCCAUCUGGCUCGGUACUGACGCUCAGGCGCGAAAGCGUGGGGAGCAAACAGGAUUAGAUACCCCUGUAGUC
rnacentral:rRNA from 1 species